GACUUCUUCUUUAGAAGGCCUCUCAUUAAAAACAUCUCGGUCAGAAUCUGCACUUUUUGUAUCUUCAGGUUCUCGUUUAGUAAACUCAAGGAGGAAAAUAAAAAAGCUCUAUCUAAACCCUGAAGCUUGGGAGAAAGAAUGGAAAUUUUGAAUCAAGUUUUAGACAUUUCAGCAUCCUCAGGGUUAAUGGAGAAUUAAGAAAAAUCUUUUAGCUGUUAAAACUUUGGACUUCUAAAGCCCUGUUUCUUUUGACUCUCAGUGAGCAGAAAUGUCUUCCUCCAAGAAAGCUCUAACGAAUGUCAAUUGAGUUCCAGAAGGUUUCCAAGGAACAUGUAUGGUUUAAUCAACAACAAAAAAAUAAACUCUGGGGAAAGAAAACAAACAAAAACCCAAAUUUUUUAAUAAAGUGAAUGGAAAAUUAGUAUAUGUGUUUUUAGUUUACAUCAAGAAUUGUAUUUAUGGUUUAUUUUUACCUUCAAAAGAGUUAAAUUACAGGUAAA